AGUAGGAUAACUGGGUCAAAUGGUGGUUCCAUUGCAGGUGUUCUGAGGAAUCUCCAUACUGCUUUCCAUAGUGGUUGUACCAAUUUGCAGUCCCACCAGUAAU
rnacentral:pre_miRNA from 1 species